UGGGGAAUAUUGCACAAUGGGGAAACCCUGAUGCAGCAACGCCGCGUGAAGGAUGAAGGCCUUUGGGUCGUAAACUUCUGUCCUUGGGGAAGAAAGAAAUGACGGUACCCUUGGAGGAAGCCCCGGCUAACUACGUGCCAGCAGCCGCGGUAAUACGUAGGGGGCAAGCGUUAUCCGGAAUUAUUGGGCGUAAAGCGUGCGUAGGCGGUUUUUAAGCGCGGGGUUUAAGGCUAUGGCUUAACCAUAGUUCGCCUUGCGAACUGGAAGACUUGAGUACAGGAGAGGAAAGCGGAAUUCCUAGUGUAGCGGUGAAAUGCGUAGAUAUUAGGAGGAACACCAGUGGCGAAGGCGGCUUUCUGGACUGCAACUGACGUUGAGGCACGAAAGCGUGGGGAGCAAACAGGAUUAGAUACCCUGGUAGU
rnacentral:rRNA from 1 species